AAACAGAUAGCUUUAUAAUGUCACACUUUACAAUCAACAUCGACUUAUCUUCAGGGCAGGCAUGCAAAUUCAGGUCCAUAUAUUUUCUCGAAACAGAUCUUCGAAUUAAUUUGACCAAAAAUAGUAAGAUUCCAGAAUCAUCUUCACAGCUUUUUAUAUUGUUCAAAGGAAGUAACUGCCAAAGGAAUCCUCAACCACAGAAACUUUAGGGUGCCCCUUUUAGCUACUACAUAAUCACCUUCACAAUAACUGACUAAUAUAGCUUGCCGGAAGAAAACAAAUAAUCAAAAUCCUCUGAGAACUAUGACCAUGUCUAAAUGUUCCGACAAAAAUGGAUUAACCAUACAAGUGUACUACCAGGAUUGGACUUGUAACUACAGAUUUCCAAGCAGACAAAUUGCCUCCAAAUAAGAUCAUCACUUUUUAGUUUUGAUCAGAAAAAAAUAGCACCAGUCUUGAAUGGAACGGAGAAACCAUCACCAAUGACUAAUCCUAAACAUGACCACCACAUGCUUCAAUUUCUCUGGUUUUAAUAUGCCAAAAUUUUUCAUAUUAUUCAUAUUACAGAUAAAGGGGUCGGACAUCGGUGGUAAUGGAAGCAAACCAACUGCACAUAUUGAAAAUUCCAUAAAUUGCAAUUAGUACAAGGUUCCUAACACAAACACCAUUAAACAGGAAAAUCACAGGAUCCGUACCUCAAACCGAGCAGGUAAGUAAUCUGUAGUUCAUGUACUAGCAUAAAAUUAAUCCGCAGGGAAGGCAGUCAAAAAGAGCUCCUUUAAUCCUCAUGAAUAAAAACUGGAACUAUAGCACCGCCCUCUUUAUCUCAAAACUUUUAGCACAUUUGUUCCAAUUUUUUAAAAAGCCAAAAAGCACUGCAUGGCCCUUUAGGUAACACCCAACCAUCCUCAGUUCAUGUACUAGCAUAAAAUUAAUCCGCAGGGAAGGCAGUCAAAAAGAGCUCCUUUAAUCCUCAUGAAUAAAAACUGGAACUAUAGCACCGCCCUCUUUAUCUCAAAACUUUUAGCACAUUUGUUCCAAUUUUUUAAAAAGCCAAAAAGCACUGCAUGGCCCUUUAGGUAACACCCAACCAUCCUCAUAUAAUCUGAAGAGUACGUCUUGACGGAAUCGAGCAAAUUAACAUCAUGGUGAUUUGAAAGGUCUGAACAAACCUAAGAAAACCAUCUCAAAUCCUGUUUACAUGUUCCGAUAGUACUUGACGUUAUCAUGAAAUAAACAGAUCUGAAACAAAAAUUGCAUAAUUGCAAGCAGCCGAAAUGUCUUGAACUACCAAGCUUCAAAACUUGAAAGGAACAGAACAAUCCUGUACUCUUUAGGCCAUUGACCAAUUUCAGGACACAAACUUCUGUUUAUCUACCAUUGAUCAUUCACAAGAUAUCUUAACCUACAUGAAAAAUUCAUCCCACGAACAGAAAUUGGGGCAAAACAACUCGGCCGUGCAAUCUUAACAGAGUAUAUUGCCAAAGCAGAAAAUCACGAUUAGCCAUAAACAAAUCAAAACUAGGGUACCAUUCAGAAAACUAACGCAACAGCAGAGACGAAUCGCCGAAAAUAGACACCCCAAACCGAACGGAUCAAGCAGCGCCGAAAACAGACCCCCAAACCAAAUUGAAUAGAACCGAUCGAGUAUUCACCUGACGAACAAAGGGCAGAGAACGAGGUGAGAUCGAAAUUGAUUGCUCCUUACCUACUGACUUACCAGCCACCCGCGGCGGGAGAGACGGGGGAGGAACAAACCACGCGAGAAGAGAAGGAAGCCAUGGAAGAGAGGCAGGGGGAUCGGGAUGGAUUUAUAGCGGAGAGCCUCCCAGGAGGAAACCGAGUCGGUGGGCGAGAGAGAGAGAGAGAGGCGG
rnacentral:lncRNA from 1 species